rfam:Hordeum vulgare subsp. vulgare, WGS project CAJW01000000 data, contig: morex_contig_1629387
GGUAUACUCCCUCCGUCCCAAAAAUUUUGUCUUAGAUUUUCAUAGAUAUGAAUGUAUCUAGUCACGUUUUAACAUUUAGAUAAACUCAUUUCUAAAGAGACCUAAGACAAGAAUUUUUGGACAGAGGGAGUAUAUU